CUUUAUUGGAGAGUUUGAUCCUGGCUCAGGACGAACGCUGGCGGCGUGCCUAAUACAUGCAAGUCGAGCGGACUUGAGGGAGCUUGCUCCCGAUGGUCAGCGGCGGACGGGUGAGUAACACGUGGGCAACCUGCCUGUAAGACUGGGAUAACUCCGGGAAACCGGGGCUAAUACCGGAUAAUUCAUUCCCUCACAUGAGGGAAUGCUGAAAGACGGCUUUUGCUGUCACUUACAGAUGGGCCCGCGGCGCAUUAGCUAGUUGGUGAGGUAACGGCUCACCAAGGCCACGAUGCGUAGCCGACCUGAGAGGGUGAUCGGCCACACUGGGACUGAGACACGGCCCAGACUCCUACGGGAGGCAGCAGUAGGGAAUCUUCCGCAAUGGACGAAAGUCUGACGGAGCAACGCCGCGUGAGCGAAGAAGGCCUUCGGGUCGUAAAGCUCUGUUGUCAGGGAAGAACAAGUACCGGAGUAACUGCCGGUACCUUGACGGUACCUGACCAGAAAGCCACGGCUAACUACGUGCCAGCAGC
rnacentral:rRNA from 2 species